UGAGUAACCUGCCCUUAACUCUGGGAUAAGCCUGGGAAACUGGGUCUAAUACCGGAUAUGACUCCUCAUCGCAUGGGUGGGGGGUGGAAAGCUUUUUGUGGUUUUGGAUGGACUCGCGGCCUAUCAGCUUGUUGGUGAGGUGAUGGCCUACCAAGGCGACGACGGGUAGCCGGCCUGAGAGGGCGACCGGCCACACUGGGACUGAGACACGGCCCAGACUCCUACGGGAGGCAA
rnacentral:rRNA from 1 species